GUGGGGAAUAUUGGACAAUGGGCGAAAGCCUGAUCCAGCCAUGCCGCGUGUGUGAAGAAGGUCUUCGGAUUGUAAAGCACUUUAAGUUGGGAGGAAGGGCAUUAACCUAAUACGUUAGUGUUUUGACGUUACCAACAGAAUAAGCACCGGCUAACUUCGUGCCAGCAGCCGCGGUAAUACGAAGGGUGCAAGCGUUAAUCGGAAUUACUGGGCGUAAAGCGCGCGUAGGUGGGUUUGUAAGUUGGAGGUGAAAUCCCCGGGCUCAACCUGGGAACUGCCUCCAAAACUGCAUGACUAGAGUACGGUAGAGGGUAGUGGAAUUUCCUGUGUAGCGGUGAAAUGCGUAGAUAUAGGAAGGAACACCAGUGGCGAAGGCGACUACCUGGACUGAUACUGACACUGAGGUGCGAAAGCGUGGGGAGCAAACAGGAUUAGAUACCCUAGUAGUCC
rnacentral:rRNA from 1 species